rnacentral:rRNA from 1 species
AUUGAACGCUGGCGGCAUGCCUAACACAUGCAAGUCGAACGGGGCAGCAAUGCCUAGUGGCGGACGGGUGAGGAAUACGUAGGAAUCUGCCCUUAAGAGGGGGAUAACCAGGGGAAACCCUGACUAAUACCGCAUGAUCUCUUCGGAGCAAAGAGGGGGACCGCAAGGCCUCUCGCUUCUGGAUGAGCCUACGUCUGAUUAGCUAGUUGGUAGGUAAAGGCCUACCAAGGCGACGAUCAGUAACUGGUCUGAGAGGAUGAUCAGUCACACCGGAACUGAGACACGGUCCGGACUCCUACGGGAGGCAGCAGUGGGGAAUAUUGGACAAUGGGCGCAAGCCUGAUCCAGCAAUGCCGCGUGUGUGAAGAAGGCCUUCGGGUUGUAAAGCACUUUAGCCUGGAAAGAAAAAACUUUGGUUAACACCCAAAGUCUUGACGGUACCAGGAGAAUAAGCACCGGCUAACUCUGUGCCAGCCGCCGCAGUAACAC